GGGCGAAAGCCUGAUCCAGCAAUGCCGCGUGCAGGGAUGAAGGCCUUCGGGUUGUAAACCUUGCUUUUGUACGGGAACGAAAAAGCUUCUCCUAAUACGAGAGGCGCCACUGGAGCUGGUGAUCCCGUAAGAAUAAGCACCGGCGUAACUACGUGCCAGCAGCCG
rnacentral:rRNA from 1 species